AUUUGUAAUAACUGCCCGGUGACUUAAUGUGGAAUGGCACAGGAAUGGCAUGCCCUGAUUGCUUAACCCUUUCCCUGGCCUUUGAUUCUGUCGCCUGCAACCUUGGUCUCUCCUGAUGCUGGGGCGCCAGAUCAGUUCUGCCUGCUCCCAGCUGAGCUCGUCUCGCUGGUCCUAUGGUGAUUACUCUUUGUUGUUACAUCAGAAACACUGACUCAUGGAAAUGGAGUUAGGAGCAUCUGUUGUGUCCCUUCGUGCACCCCCACCACCCACCUUCUAGUUCUACUUGCUUAAUAGCUGCUUAUAUUUAUUGUUUGGCUGUGUCUCAGAGUGGGGAUCUUAGUGCUGCACCAGGGCUUGGCAUUUGAGGGAUAAGUCAGAAGUUAAUGUAAAAACAAAAAGCAAACAACAACAACAAAAAAACUACUAAACUUCACCUCGUAAUUUCAAGGGAAACUGAAAGGACAUAGGUCAGAGGGAGAAAAGCUGGAAGCCACUUAGCUGAUAAACACCCCAUGACCUAGAAACAGGGUUCUAACCCCUCCUCUUUCUUUACUUCUGUCCCCUUUCCCUUCUCUCUAACACUCUUCUCACUUUAAUAUAAACCAAGAUUUCUCAACCUCAGCACUAGUCUUUGGACCAGGUAGUUGUCUGCGGUGGGGGAAUGUUCUAUUCAUUGUCUGACAUCCCUGGCCCCUACCCAUGAGAUGCCAGUAACACCCUCUGAGUUGUGACAACCAAAAAUGUCUCUAGACAUUGCCAAAAACCCCUCGAGGGGUGAGAUUGCCCCUGGGAGAGAGCCACAGAUGUAACUCAAAAAUCUAAACCGAUUUCUAGAUUCUGUCUGAUGUAAGCACUUUAUUUUGUGCAGCCACAGGGAAGGAUUUUUCAUGGUUCACCGGCGAGGGACAGACCCUGGGCCAGUGUUCUGUUCACUCCAUUCUGCUGCCUUCCGAGUGCACCUUCCAGCUGCCCAGAUACUGACUAUGGGCUGAACUGUUGGGGAGGGUUUAUCAAUGGAAGCCAGGCCUGGGAGCUGUUACUGCCUGUUUGUGGAGAGAUAAUGCUGUUAGAAGGCGCAUGAGGGAAAAAUCACAAAAGCUUUCAUACCUGUUAUCACAUUCCCCUUCUCCUGCUCUGGGCCCCACACCUAGAGAUGCAGGCAGCUUCUCCAGUUAAUCCCCACACUCCUCGUAGCCUCACGGGAUCUCGGACUUGGAAGAGCCCAUAGAAAGCAUUCGACAUCGGCAGAGACCAAAAGCCUACAAGGGGGAAUGACCUGCUCAAGGAAUUUGCCAGUGUCCCUCUGUGCCUCUGUUUGCUGACAGGUUGGUUACAUAAGGUCUGUGUUGGCUUCAUGGUCAUAAAGUUUUCUUUGCCUGGACAGCAAGUCCUCGGAUUCUGUCAAAUGAGAACCUUAUCCUGAGAUGCAAGUUGACAGGCAUCUACCAAUGGAAUUGGCUUCAACACAGGUCGUCAGCUUCCUGUUCCUGGACACAUUAAAGCAGAAAUGCAAUGCCAUCGGGGACACUAGAGGAAAUUCCUGUCCUGUGUGGGACAUUCUCAGGGCCUGCUCUGAAAGGUUUGGCAAAUAAAGAGUUGGACCCAGACUGAGUUGUGAAGAAGUGAGAUGAGCCCUGACCUCCGAAUGGGAAGAGCGGGGUCCGAGUCCCAGCCCUGACUCUGUGGGACAGCUCCCUCCCCAUCUCUGGGGGGUGGCACCGUCCCUCCCCAUCUUCACGUGAGGGGCUUGGUCCCAGCAUCUCCAGGCGCCGUGUCUUGGGAAAGAGCCUCUGAUCUAUUUUCGUUGGAUGUGCAUGCUCUCCAGGAGGAUUACCAUCCGGCUGACUCAACUGGGCUUAUUCCUUUUGUCUGAUCGCUCUGCUGUCAUAAGGCAAGCUCCGCGGCCAGUUUUAGCCCUUCUUGGAUUAAGGGAGUGUCCAAAUGAAGGUACUGGAGCAUUGGUCACGGUUUCUGCCCAGGACACUUGCCUCCCUCUCCCCUCCCCACCCCACCCUGAUGCUCCCUUCCAUCUGGCACAGACACAGCCCUCCUGCUCCGUGGAUGACACGCUAAGUAGAGUCUGGUUUUCACAUUAGAUGAGAGGAGGCCCUGAAGUCAGAAAUCCUUGGCAAAUGAGUCAUUUGGUCUCUUUGUGCCUUAUUUCCCCAACUCUGAGUAGGCAGAGCUCUCACUCUGUCUCCCUGUGUGAGCCCGGCAGAGGUGGGCUUCUGCGAGGUGGCCCUUCCCCACGGGCAGGUCCCUGCUUUCACAGGGGGCUCACUUGGAAAGCCACAGCCCAGGGGGAUUCUCUAGUAAAAUUCGGUGUCUCUCUGUCUCUCCGCUUCCACACCUGGCCCCCUCCAGACCUCCUGCAGCACGCCCGCCCGCGUGCACUUGCUAACACACAGAAGUCAGCUUUGCCGAAGAGCCUUCCGUGGCUCCCCAUUGCCUUUGGGACAACGGUCUCAGCAGGUGAGUUCGCAGGAAGCGCAGAGGAAACCGACUGCAAGAAUGACACUCCCCACUCCCCACAGACCCCUGCAGGCACUGUGUAUGCCCCAUGGGCCUUCCAGGUGCGAGGCCCUGUGCUGGGGAUAAGCAGAGACAGGCUUGGGCCCUGUGUUUAGAAGCUUAUACAUUUUUCACAAGACAGGUCAACAGGUACCCAACAAUAAUGUGUAUUUUAAUGUUUAAGUACUGGAAGUGCUCUUAGAAAUCAUGGACCUUGCCCAACUGCCUCUCAUUUUACAGUAGUGGAAACUGAUGUCCCAGAAUUGGCGAAUUAUAAAGAAAAACUUGUCUCCUAAGAGGUCUCCCUGCUUCUACUCUGCCUUCACCACCAGGAGCCCCUCUGCACCCUGCAGCCAGAGCCAUCUGUCUGAGCAGCGUGUCACCUGGUCACUCCCACGAGAAAGCUUCCUGUGGCCCCCACUGGCCUACAAUAGAAGCCAAACAUCCUCCCAGACCCGUGGUGCCCAGGGUGUCAGGCCCACGCAUCCCGGUCGUUCCCUGUGAUGAGAAUGUCCUUCCGUUUCAGGACUAUUGGCCCCUCCUCAGGGCUGCCCUCCCUGACCAUCCAUGCAAGGCAGGUGCACCGCCCCGCUCAUUCCCUUCCCAUCACCCUGACUGGAUGUGUUCAGAGCACAUAAUACCGUCCACAUCCUCUUGUUUGUUUACUGAUUUUUCUUCUUUCGUAUCUGGGUCAACUUACUAGAGGCUAAGCUGCAGAGGGCUGAGAUUUGCCGCUUUCACUAGCACCUACAACAUACUUGGCUCAUAGUUGACACAAGAAAUCUUUGCUGAAUGACUAAACCAAGAAAUGAAUACAUAUCACUGGAAAUUUGAAAACGUAAAAUAGCAUAAAGAAGCAAAUAAAAUCACUCAUACUUCCUCCUUCUGGAUAUUACUGCUGUUAGUAUUUUGGAGUAUUUUUUCAGGUCUUUUUUAAUGUAUAUGUAUGAUGUAUAGUGUGUAUUUAACAAAAUUAAGAUUAUGUUAAAUUAUGGUUUGUAUCCUGCUUUUUUUCACUUAUUAUAUUGUAUCUCCACAUGUUGUAAAAUAAUCUUUUAAAAUACUUUUUAAAGUGCUGCAUAAAAUUUCAUAUGGAUGUAAUAAAAUUAACUUACGCAUU